rnacentral:tRNA from 1 species
AACUUUUUGGCAGAAACAUUGCAUUAG